rnacentral:rRNA from 1 species
GACGAACGCUGGCGGCGUGCCUAAUACAUGCAAGUAGAACGCUGAAGAGAGGAGCUUGCUCUUCUUGGCUGAGUUGCGAACGGGUGAGUAACGCGUAGGUAACCUGCCUUGUAGCGGGGGAUAACUAUUGGAAACGAUAGCUAAUACCGCAUAACAAUGGAUGACGCAUGUCAUUUAUUUGAAAGGGGCAAUUGCUCCACUACAAGAUGGACCUGCGUUGUAUUAGCUAGUAGGUGAGGUAAUGGCUCACCUAGGCGACGAUACAUAGCCGACCUGAGAGGGUGAUCGGCCACACUGGGACUGAGACACGGCCCAGACUCCUACGGGAGGCAGCAGUAGGGAAUCUUCGGCAAUGGGGGCAACCCUGACCGAGCAACGCCGCGUGAGCGAAGAAGGUUUUCGGAUCGUAAAGCUCUGUUGUAAGUCAAGAACGGGUGUGAGAGUGGAAAGUUCACACUGUGACGGUAGCUUACCAGAAAGGGACGGCUAACUACGUG